GACGAACGCUGGCGGCGUGCUUAACACAUGCAAGUCGAACGGAAAGGCCCUGCUUUUGUGGGGUGCUCGAGUGGCGAACGGGUGUGUAACACGUGAGUAACCUGCCCUUGACUUUGGGAUAACUUCAGGAAACUGGGGCUAAUACCGGAUAGGAGCUCCUGCUGCAUGGUGUUGGUUGGAAAGUUUCGGCGGUUGGGGAUGGACUCGCGGCUUAUCAGCUUGUUGGUGGGGUAGUGGCUUACCAAGGCUUUGACGGGUAGCCGGCCUGAGAGGGUGACCGGCCACAUUGGGACUGAGAGACGGACCAGACUCCUACGGGAGGCAGCAGUGGGGAAUAUUGCAGAAUGGGCGGAAGCCUGAGGCAGAAACGCCGCGUGCGGGAUGACGGCCUUCGGGUUGUAAACCGCUUUCGCCUGUGACGAAGAGUGAGUGACGGUAAUGGGUAAAGAAGCACCGGCUAACUACGUG
rnacentral:rRNA from 1 species